GAGAGCACAGUACGAUGAAAGUUGUAAGCUGUGUUCGGGGGGGAGUUAUUGUCUAUCGUUGGCCUCUAUGGUAGAAUCGAUCAGAGAGGCCUGAAAGACGGUAGCUUACCCUGU
rfam:Physcomitrella patens subsp. patens chloroplast DNA, complete genome.